CGCUUUUUCAUCAUGGUAGUCACUUGCGUUCCAUUGCUCACGAAGACAAGAAGGAAUACUCCGGUUGGAACUUUAUUAAAGCUAUAUGUUAAAAACAUCCUAAUGAUUGAUUCUGUACUUAGUUUGAAAUGUUUCUUCGACCGGUAAUAUCACUUUUUGAAGUUUUUGUCCGAUAUAACGCUGACCAGAAUUAGCGUUUGGAUAUGUAUACUGACAUUUUACUGAUAUGUACGCUGACAUUUUUGAACAAAACAAACAUUUAUUGUGGACCUGGGAUUCCUGGAGUGCUUUCUGAUGUAGAUCAUCAAAGCUAUGUGGUUUGUAGGUGUUCUGGGUGCGAGUGGUGCGGGGCCACUUUGGCUCUGUGUUGGCCAAGCUGCGGACACUGAUCAGCCGCAGGAGGCAGAGGAGCCAGCAACAGCAACUCUGUACAGACCCAGAGAGCUACGAUGUAUAACACCGUGGUGGAGCGCAGAGAGCCCCGCUGAUGAUAUAGAGCCAGCUUCCGAGCAACGCUGAGGCGGAGCAGUUCUGUAAAGACACGCGGCGCUGUGUGGUGACUGGGUCAGAGUGUGUCACAGGGGGACUCAGGUUAUGGAAGAGGGGACUGGAGCUCUGAUUCGUGGACCUCAUUGAAAUUAUUUUUUUGUUUGAUAUUUUCACUCUAUAUAGAUUCCUUGAGGUUUCCAUGCAAAAAGGACUAGAGGUUGGGAUUGGUCUCGGAUGGAGACUGUACAAGUCAUUUUUGACAAAUAUGAUGACUGCUGAAUGUUUGAUAAAUGAAUGUUAUGUUAACAAACUAGGCUGCUGCUUUUGGAUGGAAAUUUGAUGCUGCUACCCAGCAACCAUGUUUGUUUGUGUUUCAUCUUUCAAUCAGUACAGUGGCUGUGUUGGAAGAGGGUCAGUUGUUUUGCAGCAAAGGAUGUUGUGGCAAUGAUUGGAGAUGUUAAAAUGCAUUUUUAGCUGCUGUUGCUAUGUUGCACAUGUGCGACAGUCUUAUGCCCUAUACAUUAUUGCACGAGCAGUACUACCAUUUGGUGGAAGGAUUCAGGGGGUGCAUGUUUCUGAAAAUAAAAGGAUAAAACCCUGUACCUCUCAGCUGUGUCCUCAUAACAACUUUAUUCCUCAUUUAUUUUGUAAAUGUAUAUUUAAAAUGUACAUGCAUGUCUACAAUAUCACAAUAUUUUAAACAUUCU
ensembl:lncRNA